AAAUACAGGGUGGGGAUAAGGAAUUGGCCAAGAGAAAUUAUCCGUCUGAGCCAAGAGGGGUGGAAGAAGUCAACUCCCCCAUAGCUGUGUGCCUACCCUCCUGCCUGCUUCUUUGACCAACGGUUGUUACCACACAGGACAGGAAGAAGAUCACAGAAGGCUUCAUGGAGAUGGUAGCACCUGACAUGGGCCUUGCAGGAAGAGAAGGAAAUUGAAGUUGGAGAUGAGAAAAGAUUAUAUUCCAGGCAUGAGGCCAAGACCUGUGCAAAUGCUGGGAGGUGGUAGAUUGUGUAUCAAGCUUAAAGAAGAACUAGUAGGGCAGUGUGGGGAGAAGGCAGCAUGUGUAAAAGACCACAGGCAGAUGGGACACUGUCCAUAACUGUGAGCUGGAGAAGUCAUUGUCCUGAGGUCCAGAGAAUCUUCAGCUUCAGCUCGGAGUGUUGGAAGAGGGCAGAGAACUGGGGUCUCCCUACAGUGAGCUCCAACAUGCUGUUAUUACGUCAAAAUACAAAUGUCGAGCAAGAGACCUUGGCAAGCAGCUGGAUCUGGGGUCAGUGCUGGUUCCAUUCGGGUAGCCUUGGGUAGAUCACGUCCUCUUUCCAGCCUCGGUUUCCUCAUCUCCUCACCUUUGCAAACGCCCAGAACGCACUCCGCUUUCCCUUCCGCCUCGUGGAAGUCCUAGCUUCCUGUAAAGAUCAGCUCAUGGACCAUAUCCUACAAGAAACCUUUUCUGAUUGAUUCCCUUAGUCAUUAGUAAUUUUUCCCUCUUCCUCCUUAACUUUCCAGUUGGACGGAGUCCAACAUGGAUCUGUAUAAAUAUUCAAUUUCGCUGGGCUGAACAGUGGAUGUCCCAGUGUACUAAUAUUAUAGGGUCUUUGGUGUGCUUAUGCUGUGGUCAGGCUGUGGGAUCUUAGAGGAUCGUAGAUCCCUAAGAGACAAACCUCCCCCGCAAAAAACGACCUACAAACAGGCACACUUUUAAGUUUAAUUUGCAUUGUUUACAUUUUCUCCAUCACUUUCUUAAAUCUAGAGACAAUCAACAAAAUAGUAACUCAAGCUCGCACUUGUAGCGAUUGCUGAUUUCCGAGAUGCAGUUUAACCAUCAGCUCCCCUUCAAGCUGCCUCCAGCACACCCAGGGGGUUGGUUGAGUUCCGGGGUGAGGAACCGCUUCUGUUAAGGGGAUUUGUUCUAUAAGUUUGGAUUCAGUCAAAGGGCUGCACUUGAGGACCUAGAGGAUGAUAUGUAGCCUCCAGGCCAAAAGUUCCCCACCCCUGGCCUUGUUCAAACUCUAGCCUUGAGACCCAAGGAAAAAUGGGUUCAAAUCUUGUCUCUGACACUCAUCAAAGGAUCAAAGAUUUGGAAUUGGAAAUGACCUCA